AUGGAAAAUGCGUGGAUUGGAGGCAUUAAAUACCCAGGUUUCGCAGCUCUGAAAUCAUUCUGAGAAUGGCAUCCAUCUCUCUUUCUCCUUCCGCUCUGGGCUUUUCAGGCCUCAACAAGGCAAGCAAUCAGCUUAAGCUUUUUGCUAAGCCAAGCAGAAGAAGGUUGGAUUUACUUCCUUGCAAAGCUUCAUCCACUCCUCAAACGACUGCUCGACGCACAGCUAAUCAUCACCCCAACUUGUGGGAUGAUAAUUUCAUACAAUCCCUUCCAAAGGCUUACGAGGCUCCUUGUUAUGCAGAAGAAGCAGAGACAUUUAUCAGAGAAGUGAAGGAGAUGUUCAAUGGAAUGCCAACACAAAACUCUUCUGUCCACGAACGUCUUUCAAUGGUGGACAAAGUUGAACGCCUUGGAAUCGAUCGGCAUUUCCAAAAGGAAAUAAAGGAGGCUCUUGAUUGUGUUUACAGGUAUUGGAACGACAAAGGAAUUGGAAAUGGUGAAAGCGGUAGUUGCGCAGAUCUGAACACAACAGUCUUGGCACUUCGAAUUCUUCGCCUACACAGAUACGACGUCUCUUCAGGUGUGUUGGAAAAUUUCAAAGAAAAAGAUGGGAACUUCUUGAACUCAUAUAGUCAAUCAAAUGAGGAGAUAAACACGAUACUAAAUUUAUAUCGGGUUUCACUCAUUGCAUUUCCUGAGGAGAAAAUCAUGGAGGAGGCUAAAGUGUUUGCAACCAAAUAUUUAAAAGAAGUUAUGUCACAAACUAAGGAUUCCAAUAUUUCAAAAGAGAUACAAUUCAAUUUGGAAUAUGGCUGGCACACCAAUAUGCCUAGAUUUGAAACAAGGAAUUAUAUUGAUAUAUAUGGAGGAAACACUUCAUGGAUGGCAUGUAAGAGUAACAAGAAGAUUUUAUAUUUGGCAAAGCUAGACUUCAAUAUGGUGCAAUCUCUGCAACAACAAGAACUUCAAUUACUCUCAAGGUGGUGGACGGAGUCAGGUGUGCCUCAACUAGAUUUUGCUCGCAAUCGUUAUGUGGAAUAUUAUUUUUGGGCCGCAGGAGGGUGUGUAGAGCCAAAGUAUUAUGCUUAUAGAAUUGGUUGUGCAAAAAUUGCUUCUAUUGCAACAGUUCUAGAUGAUAUAUAUGAUACUUAUGGGACACUCGAUGAGCUAAAACUCUUCACAAAUGCAGUUAAAAGAUGGGAUCCCUCUUCUAUCGACUAUCUUCCUGAAUAUAUGAAAGUUGUGUUCAUGGCAUUUUAUGAAAUUGUAAAUGAAAUGGUAGAAGAGGCAACCAAAACCCAAGGCCGAGACACACUUGACUAUGCUAGAAAAGUUUGGGAGGCUUUCUUGGAUUCUUAUAUGCAAGAAGCAGAGUGGCUUGCUACUAGUUAUAUACCAACCUUUGAGGAGUAUUUAGAGAAUGCAAAAAUUAGUGGUGGUGCUCGAAUAGUUAUUCUGCAACCUCUCUUAACAUUAGAUGCAGUUCUUCCUGACACCCUUCUUCCGAAAAUUGAUUUUCCUUCAAGGUUCAAUGAGCUUUUAGCAUUGACCUUUCGAUUAAGCAAUGAUAUCAAUAGUUUCAAGGCUGAAGUUGCUAGGGGUGAAAAAGCAUCUUGUGUAGCAUGUUAUAUGAGAGAUAGAUCAACUGAAGAAGAAGAAGCUUUGGAUCAUCUUAAGUCUUUGAAUGAAAAAUUAUUCAAAGAAUUAAGUUUCGAAUAUUUAAAACUAGAUAGUGUACCAAUGUGCAGUAAAGAUCAUGCAAUAUCUUUAUCACAAGGCUAUCAUUUCUUUUAUAGAGAGAGAGAUGGAUUCACUAUUUCCACCAAAGAUACAAGAAACUAUAUUUUGAAAAUCCUAGUUCAACCUAUGACAAUGGAGAAGGCGAGGAUUCAGCCAACGAAACAAUCUAUUUCUUUCAUUGUCGAAUGGAGUGGAAAAUCAUUUGUGAGCAAUAAAGAGAUAGUUAUAGAUAAACAGAAAUCUAAUAGCUUUAUUUAAAUGAAUUACCCUGAUUUUAGUGUUAGCGAACCAUUACCACUCUGUGGUCAGACCUUCAAAUCUUUAGAGCAACCAUACCUCAAACCCAACUCUGAUAAUAUCGAUAAUGUCGAAUUAGCCCCUUAUCAAAACAGCUUACUUAAAGAUUUGUGAUUUUGAUAUUUAUUAUGUUGAAUUUUCUGUCAAUUUUACCCAUGACUUCCAUUUGGCAUCGUCUAUUUAGGGUAUAGCCAAAUCCACUCAAAUCUAUCGGCUCCCAUUCAUUGAGGGUUUGGUCAAAUUAUACUGGUUGAUCCCCAUGGGAUUGUAUUCUUUGACAUAAGAUAUUUAUUCUGUAACUUUCACGAUCAAGUCCUCCUGACCUUAUCUUUGAGGAUGUGGUCAAAUCCAUGGCGCCUAACCUAUUCAGGGCGCAGUCGGGCUGCUCUCAAAUACAGUUGCCCUCUUUUGUUUAGGAUGCUUUCAAAUCCAGUUGAUCUCAUCUGUUAAGGGUUUUUUUUAAAUCCAGUUGGCCUCAUCCAGUAAGAGUGUAGACAAAUAUGAUUCUAUAUGACCUUAUGAUACGAUCUAUGUUGAGUUGGAUACAUGACCUAGGAUAUUUAUUUUAUGAUACUCAACCUGAGAGCCUCCCCUGGUCAUAUCGAUUGAGGCUGUGGUCAAAUUUUUCUGGCCUCAUCUCUUGGACGCACAAUGGAAUUCAUCCCAGGAUCUGUCACCCAUGUAUUGAUGGCACUUGUAAACCACCUGGUUGAGGGGGGUCAUCCCCGUGUGAGUAGAUGUUAUGGUCUAGGAUAUUUCAUGUCAAAUUUAUGGUGUAAAUGCUCUUAUAAGAUUUACACCAAUUCUAAUCCAUUGAGGUCACACCCAAUACCUGCAGUGAGACCCUUUUGUUGAAUGUGGAAUUAAAUUUAUCAUCUAUUCACCUGCCCUCAUGCAUUGAGGUCUAGUCCAAUUCAUCUACUUGCGCAGAAUCUCAAUCAUUGAGGCUUCAUUCGAAUCCACCUGGCCCCUUCUGUUGAGGAUACAGUGGAAUUCACCCCAAGACAUUCACCUGAUACAAUCAGAUUCACCCUUGAUAUGCAACCUGCAUUCACAUGUUGAGGAAUACUAUCUGCACAAGCUAAGAAUUAUGUACAAGGAAUUAGUUUUCACAUGUUAUAAACCCAUUCAAGGAGUCAGAAACAGACGAUGUUGGAUCGGGUACAAAGGAUUAUGUACAUGUUCGCAUAGAGAAGCGAAACGGUAGAAAGAGCUUGACUACCAUUCAAGGACUUCGAAAGGAAUACAAUUACAACAAAAUUCUCAAAGAUUUCAAGAAAGAGUACUGUAGUACAGGAUCCAGAGCUGGGGUAGGUAUGACACAGUGCUUUCUCUGUCAUAGACUGGCACUCUGAAAUCUUUGUCCACUGCGUUCCUCAUUAGGAAACAUCUAUUUUGUAGGUUAUCCAGCUUCAAGGUUAUCAGAGGAUGAAUGCAUCUCACUUCCUUAUCAAUUUUUGUAGGCUGGUUUGGUGAAGAAGGAUAAAAUCAAGAUCCAUGGUUUUUAAGAGGCUCUUUUUAGUCAAUAAUAAGAAAGAUAUUCAUGUUCUGAUUUAUCACUA